rnacentral:lncRNA from 10 species
UACCUCCCAGUUUUUUAGUACUGUACAUAAUGUUUUAUUAAUUUGUCCUUUUUGGCUGCUGCCAAGACAGCAUAUAUGGAACUGAUUUUUGAACCUCAAGAAACUGACAUUUUGAAUUCUGCUUUGUAUCAUAAGCCUCAAAUGCAAGAAGCUGUGAUUAGAAUGUGAUAAUAGCCGAGGUGCCAUAAUUCUCUGCUGUUGUAUGAGGUUUGUGCAGCUAAAAUAUCUGACUCCUAAAAUGGAGUUUCCUGAAAUUAUUCCUUACUCAUAGUGUAAUGAGGUGAACUAGUUUGCAAUUUUUCCGACAUUUGAAGAAACAGAUUCACUCCCCAACCUUGUGUACGUGUUGGAUCUAUUAUAACUUUCUUUCACUCCAUCUCUCAGAAUAGAUGAUCAUCCUCAUCUUUGCAUCAUAUUCCAAUUAGAAAGGGAUGAUACAACAAGAAAGCUCUCGUAAGAUGUCAGCUGCUUGAUUUUGGACUUCGCAAACUCUAGAACUUUUCUCUUGCUUGCUCCUGCCAUGUAAGAAGUGCCUUUCGUUUCCGGCCAUGAUUCUGAGGCCUCCCCAGCUGUGUGGAACUAAAUUAUAUGUUCAUUCCAAGGAGUUAAGUCUCAACUGACCAUGGAAAGAAUAUGGCAGAUAUAACAGCACGUAAUUUCCAAGGCAAGGUCAUAAAAGACAUUGUAGCUUCUGCCUUGUCCCUUCCUCUUGGAUCUCUUGCUAUGGAGUAGCAGCCCCAUGAAGACACCCGUGGUGGAAGAUCACUGAGGACUCCUGCCAACAGCCACCCAGUGACUGAGGCCUCUUGCAGAAAUCCAUAUGAGUGGGCCAGCUGACAAGAAAAUCUUCCAGCUCUAGUCAAGCCUUCAGAACACCAGCUCUUAGUGCCAGGAACUGCCAGGUAAGAAUUCUGACUACACUGAGGCCACCAUGCUCUGAGGAAGUCAAGCCAGAUGGAAAGAUCACAGCAGGAGAACUGGUCAGCAGUCAUACUCUUGAACUCAUCCCAACCCAGACUCCAGACAUGUGAAUUGACAAGUCUUCAGAUGAUUCCAGCACAAAGCCAUUGAGUCACCUCCAGCCAUUGAGUGUCCCCAGCCGAGACACCAGUCACCAUCAAGCAGAGCCAGUAUGCCUGUUAUGCCUGUCCAAAUUCUUGACCCACUAAAUUCUAUGAAAUUAAUAAAUGGUUGUUUAAGUUACUAAAUUUUAAACUUAAUUUGUUAUGCAGUAAUAGGAAUUGUUCCUGUCUGUGAGCAAGUCCUCAUGGACAAUAAACUCAGAUCUGUCUGUGGAAUCUGGGAGAAAAAGAGACUGUUAUCCUUCCCCAUGGUACAGCCCCAGAAAGAUAAAAGUCUCAGAAUAAAACACUGUACAUGCAUAGCUCAUUUUAUUGGGCUUUGUUUAUUGCAUCUCACAAACGUUACGCUUUUUACAGACUGAAGGUUUGUGGCAACCCUGUGUCUAUUGAGCAAGUCUACCAGCACUAUUUUUCCAACAGUAUGUGCUCGCUUUGUGUCUC